AACGAACGCUGGCGGCGCGCCUAAUACAUGCAAGUCGAGCGAGAAGACGUAGCAAUACGUUUGUAAAGCGGCGAACGGGUGAGGAAUACAUGGGUAACCUACCCUCGAGUGGGGAAUAACUAGCCGAAAGGUUAGCUAAUACCGCGUACGCUCCUUGGACUUCGGUUCAGGGAGGAAAGCGAUACCGUGGGUAUCGCGCUCUUGGAUGGGCUCAUGUCCUAUCAGCUUGCUGGUGAGGUAACGGCUCACCAAGGCUUCGACGGGUAGCUGGUCUGAGAGGACGAUCAGCCACACUGGCACUGCGACACGGGCCAGACUCCUACGGGAGGCAGCAGUAAGGAAUAUUGCGCAAUGGGCGAAAGCCUGACGCAGCGACGCCGCGUGGGGGAUGAAGGUCUUCGGAUUGUAAACCCCUUUCGGG
rnacentral:rRNA from 1 species